rnacentral:rRNA from 1 species
CCUACGGGAGGCUGCAGUGGGGAAUAUUUGGCAAUGGGCGCAAGCCUGACCCAGCAACGCCGCGUGAAGGAAGAAGGCUUUCGGGUUGUAAACUUCUUUUCUCAGGGACGAAGCAAGUGACGGUACCUGAGGAAUAAGCCACGGCUAAAUACGUGCCAGCAGCCGCCGUAAUACGUGGGUGGUAAGCGUUAUCCGGAUUUACUGGGUGUAAAGGGCGGGUAGGCGGGACUGCAAGUCAGCUGUGAAAACCAUGGGCUCAACCUACGGCCUGCAGUUGAAACUGUAGUUCUUGAGUACUGGAGAGGCAGACGGAAGUCCUGGUGUAGCGGUGAAAUGCGUAGAUAUUAGGAGGAACACCAGUGGCGAAGGCGGGCUGCUGGACAGCAACUGACGCUGAGGCGCGAAGGCGUGGGGAGCGAACAGGAGUAGAUACCCCUGUAGUC